CCCUUAGAUGUUCUGGGCUGCACGCGCGCUACACUGAUGCACUCAUCGAGUUUAUGACCUUGUCCGAGAGGAUUGGGUAAUCUUCUUAAAAUGCAUCGUGAUGGGGAUAGAUUAUUGCAAUUAUUAAUCUUCAACGAGGAAUUCCUAGUAAGCGCGAGUCAUCAGCUCGUGCUGAUUACGUCCCUGCCCUUUGUACACACCGCCCGUCGCUCCUACCGACUGAGUGAUCCGGUGAAUAAUUCGGACUGCAGCAAUGUUUGGAUCCCGAACAUUGCAGUGGAAAGUUUAGUGAACCUUAUCACUUAGAGGAAGGAGAAGUCGUAACA
rnacentral:rRNA from 1 species